AAUAUUGGACAAUGGGGGCAACCCUGAUCCAGCCAUGGCGCGUGUGUGAAGAAGGUCUUCGGAUUGUAAAGCCCUUUAAGUUGGGAGGAAGGGCUUUAGGUUAAUACCCUGAAGUUUUGACGUUACCAACAGAAUAAGCACCGCCUAACUCUGUUCCAGCAGCCGCGGUAAUACAGAGGGUUCAAGCGGUAAUCGGAAUUACUGGGCGUAAAGCGGGCGGAGGUGGUUCAAUAAGGUGGGUGUAAAAUCCCCGGGCUUAACCUGGGAACUGCUUUCAUAACUGCUGAGCUAGAGUACGGUAGAGGGUAGUGGAAUUUCCUGUGUAGCGGUAAAAUGCGUAGAUAUAGGAAGGAACACCAGUGGCGAAGGCGACUACCUGGACUGAUACUGACACUGAGGUGCGAAAGCGUGGGGAGCAAAC
rnacentral:rRNA from 1 species